UCCGCAGGCGGUCAAUUAAGUCAGAGGUGAAAUACCAUAGCUCAACUAUGGAACUGCCUUUGAUACUGGUUGACUUGAGUCAUAUGGAAGUAGAUAGCAUGUGUAGUGUAGCGGUGAAAUGCAUAGAUAUUACACAGAAUACCGAUUGCGAAGGCAGUCUACUACGUAUGUACUGACGCUGAGGGACGAAAGCGUGGGGAGCGAACAGGAUUAGAUACCCUGGUAGUCC
rnacentral:rRNA from 1 species